rnacentral:rRNA from 1 species
UACAGGGGGGGGCAAGCGUUGUUCGGAAUUACUGGGCGUAAAGGGCUCGUAGGUGGCCAACUAAGUCGGACGUGAAAUCCCUCGGCUUAACCGGGGAACUGCGUCUGAUACUGGAUGGCUAGAGAUUGGGAGAGGGAUGCGGAAUUCCAGGUGUAGCGGUGAAAUGCGCAGAUAUCGGGAAGAACACCCGUGGCGAAGGCGGCCCACUGGGCCGGGUACU